GCUGUCGUCAGCUCGUGUUGUGAAAUGUUGGGUUAAGUCCCGCAACGAGCGCAACCCUUAUCCUUUGUUGCCAGCGGUUAGGCCGGGAACUCAAAGGAGACUGCCAGUGAUAAACUGGAGGAAGGUGGGGAUGACGUCAAGUCAUCAUGGCCCUUACGACCAGGGCUACACACGUGCUACAAUGGCGCAUACAAAGAGAAGCGACCUCGCGAGAGCAAGCGGACCUCAUAAAGUGCGUCGUAGUCCGGAUUGGAGUCUGCAACUCGACUCCAUGAAGUCGGAAUCGCUAGUAAUCGUGGAUCAGAAUGCCACGGUGAAUACGUUCCCGGGCCUUGUACACACCGCCCGUCACACCAUGGGAGUGGGUUGCAAAAGAAGUAGGUAGCUUAACCUUCGGGAGGGCGCUUACCACUUUGUGAUUCAUGACUGGGGUGAAGUCGUAACAAGGUAACCGUAGGGGAACCUGCGGUUGGA
rnacentral:rRNA from 3 species